rnacentral:rRNA from 1 species
AAAGAGCUUGCUCCUUUGACGUUAACGGCGGACGGGUGAGUAACACGUGGAUAACCUACCUAUAAGACUGGGAUAACUUCGGGAAACCGGAGCUAAUACCGGAUAACAUAUUGAACCGCAUGGUUCAAUAGUGAAAGGCGGCUUUGCUGUCACUUAUAGAUGGAUCCGCGCCGUAUUAGCUAGUUGGUAAGGUAACGGCUUACCAAGGCAACGAUACGAGCCGACCUGAGAGGGUGAUCG